GGCCAAGCUAUUAAGGGUAUACGGUGGAUGCCUUGGCGAGUCCUGGCGAUGAAGGACGUGGCAAGCUGCGAUAAGCCCCGGGGAGGUGCAAGCAACCUGUGAUCCGGGGAUUUCCGAAUGGGGUAACCCAUCCAUCUGUAAAGAUGGAUAUCCACGAGUUUAGCUCGUGGAGGCGAACCGGGGGAAGUGAACCAUCUCAGUACCCCGAGGAAAAGAAAGAAAAAUUCGAUUCCCUGAGUAGCGGCGAGCGAAAGGGGAAGAGCCCAAACCGAAUAAGGGCAAAAGCGUAGGCGCGUUCCUUAUUCGGGGUUGUAGGGUCUGGCACGGAAAGGCCUACCUUUCCUAAAGGCGCAUAAAAUUCCCCAAAAUAGCCGAAUGACAUGGAAAGGUCAACCAUAGAAGGUGAAAGUCCUGUAGGCAAAAUUUUGGGGAUGCCUGAAGCCAGAUUCCUGAGUACUACGAAGGAGCCGAGGAACUUCGUAGGAAGCUGGGAGGACCACCUCCCAAGGCUAAAUACACGGACUCGACCGAUAGUGGACAAGUACCGCGAGGGAAAGGUGAAAAGAACCCCGGAAGGGGAGUGAAAUAGAACCUGAAACCGUAUACCUACAAGCAGUCGGAGUCCGUUUUUUAACGGAUGACGGCGUGCCUAUUGAAGAAUGAGCCAGCGAGUUACUGGCUGCGGCAAGGUUAAUCCACUUUAGUGGAGUAGCCGUAGCGAAAGCGAGUGGUCCUAACUGGGCCCAUUAGUCGCAGUCAGUAGACCCGAAGCCGGGCGAUCUAACCAUGGCCAGGGUGAACCUGCCUUAACAGGCGGGGGAGGCCCGAACCGGUGGUUGUUGCAAAAACCUCGGAUGAGCUGUGGUUAGGAGUGAAAGGCUAAUCAAGCUCGGUGAUAGCUGGUUCUCCCCGAAAUGCCUUUAGGGGCAGCCUCACCUUAUAGGAUAGUGGGGGUAGAGCACUGAUAGGACAAGUUCACCGAUAGGUGAGCAAGUCCUUUCAAACUCCGAAUACCACUAUCCGUUCGGUGGGAGUGAGACGGUGGGGGAUAAGCUCCAUCGUCAAAAGGGGUACAGCCCAGACCAUCGGCUAAGGUCCCUAAAUCUGGUCUAAGUGGUAAAGGAGGUGGAGUUACAUAGACAACCAGGAGGUUGGCUUAGAAGCAGCCAUCCUUUAAAGAAAGCGUAACAGCUCACUGGUCGAUGUAACUCUGCGCCGACAAUUUAACGGGGCUUAAGACCAGUACCGAAGCCAUGGCUUUCCCUACAGAUAGUAGGGAAGGGGUAGGGGAGCAUUCCCUGGCGGUGAAGGUAUUCCGUAAGGAAUACUGGAGCCAAGGGAAGAGAGAAUGCUGGCAUAAGUAGCGAAAAAGUGGGUGAGAAUCCCACUGGCCGAAAGCCUAAGGUUUCCUGGGGAAGGUUCGUCCUCCCAGGGUUAGGCGGGAGCUAAGCUGAGGCCGAAAGGCGUAGGCGAUGCACAGCCGGUUAAUAUUCCGGCCCCACCUGGUAAGCGUUAUUACCGAAGGGGUGACGGAAAAGGAUAGGUCAGCCGGUGACUGGUAGUGCCGGUUCAACCUUAGAGGUCUGCUUGUGGCAAAUCCAUGAGCAACAAAGACCGAAGAGGGAGUACGAGUCCAACCGCAAGGGCGGACGAAGUGAUCAAGUCCUUUUCCCGAGAAAAACCUCGUAGGGAGUUUAUCAGGUGCCCGUACCGCAAUCCGACACAGGUAGGCUGGGGGAGUACCCUAAGGCCCGCGAGAGAACUCUCGCUAAGGAACUCGGCAAGUUAGCCCCGUAACUUCGGGAGAAGGGGUGCCUGAGUAGGGUGAGGUUUACCCAUAGCCAAGCCCGAAAAGGCCGCAGUGAAAUGGCUCCCGCGACUGUUUACCAAAAACACAGGGCUCUGCAAACUCGUCAAGAGGAUGUAUAGAGCCUGACAAGUGCCCGGCGCCGGAAGGUUAAGGGGAGAUGUUAUCCGCAAGGAGAAGCAUCGAACCUAAGCCCCGGCAAGCGGCGGCCGUAACUAUAACCUGGGACGUUGUAGUUACGUAAAUAAACCUGGCUGUAUGCGGGAAACUCCGGAGUGCUAGAAGAUACUUACACACAGAUGUAAGUAACAAAUCUUCUAGAGUUGGUGAAAAACCAGCCGGACAACCCGCAGGAAACCUUUCCUUUUUCAAAGGAGAUAAAAUGAUUGAUUUAAAAAAAGUGCCUAUUGAAAAAGGAUACUAUCUUGCUGGAUUUGCAGAUGGACAGGGUAGUUUUAUUGUUAGUGUUCAGAAAAGGCAAGAUUAUAAGACAGGGUGGAAAAUAUCAGUGUGUUUUAAUGUCUCCCAAAAGGAUAGAGUUAUAUUAAGUCAAUUUAAAAGGUAUUUACAAUGUGGAAGUUUAAGAAUGAGAGAAGAUGGAAUAUGGAACUAUGAGGUUAACAAUUUUCGUUCAAUUGUUGAGAAUGUGAUACCCUUUUUUGAAAAAUUUAAAUUUCUCUCAUCAAAAAAGAAAAAUGAUUUUAGAAUUUUUAAACAGAUUGUAAAGUUAAUAAAGAAUAAUGAACAUCUUACAGAGAAUGGAAUACAGAAAAUACUCUCUCUUCGCACAAAACUUAAUAAAAAAGAAAUAUAAGAAAGAAGAAAUUCUCAAAAAUAUUGAAAAAGGAAAGGGUUCCUCAGAGACCAUACGCCAGGCAUUUUAGAGUCGUUAAGAAAACGCCGCCUGACUCUAAAAUGAUGAUAUGGUCCAUCCCUUAUGGCAACAUAAGGAGUUAAAGAACGGUCCUAAGGUAGCGAAAUUCCUUGUCGGGUAAGUGGUCGGACUUGCCCGUAAGUCGGCUCAUAACGGUGAAACUCCUUACCGCAUGGGUAUUUACAAGGAGUACCCUAUCCUUUUAUGGAUAAGGUAAGGACAACACCGUGGGAAGUCGCCUACCAAAGUUUUGUGGUGGGUUGACCCCGUAACGACUCAUUCGCCAUUUUUUCAAUGGCGAAUGGACUCUCCUUUUAAAUAAAGGAGGGUAAUACGCCGACCAUCAAUCCACAAAAAGGAGAAAAAUAUGUUAGACCCAAAUUAUAUAACUGGGUUUGUUGAUGGAGAGGGUAGUUUUUCAGUAACAAUUUUUCCAAAAAAUUUAAAAGAUGUAAAGUGGGAAAUAAGACCAAGUUUUUCAAUAUCUCAGCAUAGGAGAGACAGAGGAAUUUUAUUUAAAAUAAAGGACUACUUCGGAUGCGGAACAAUAAGACCUAACAGAAAAGACAAUACAUUUAAAUAUGAAGUGAGGUCAAUUUCUGAUUUGAAAGAUAAAAUAAUUCCUCAUUUUAAAAAAUACCCUCUCCAGACAACAAAAAGAAUUGAUUUCCAGAUAUUUACAUCAGUGGUUGAGGCAAUCAUUGAAGGAAGACAUUUAACAAAACAAGGACUUUCUGAGAUAAUCGAGUUAUUGAAAAAAUUGCCAAGUGGAAGAAAUAGAAAAUAUAAACUUGAAAAUUUUAUUGUGGAUUGAUGAAGGUAUAGUCUAAUUGGAGUUCCGACCCGCACGAAUCUUGUAACGACGGGAGCGCUGUCUCGGCGAGAGGCUCGGCGAAAUUGUGAUACUCGUGAAGACGCGAGUUACCUGUGGCAAGACGAAAAGACCCCGGAACCUUUACUGUACCCUAUCAUUGGAUUUUAAAGUAGUAUGCGUAGGAUAGGUGGGAGGCGAUGAAGUCCUGCUUUCGGGCGGGAUGGAGCCGACGGUGAAAUACCACUCUUACUACUUUGAAAUCCUAACCUGAGCUUGUAGAACCAAGCCAGGGACAGUGGUAGGCGGGCAGUUUAGCUGGGGCGGCUGCCUCCUAAAAGGUAACGGAGGCGUCCAAAGGUUCCCUCAACCUGGUUGGCAAUCAGGUGUUGAGUGCAAAGGCAGAAGGGAGCCUGACUGCGAGACUGACAGGUCGAGCAGAGGCGAAAGCCGGGCUUAGUGAUCCGGUGGUUCCGAGUGGAAGGGCCAUCGCUCAGCGGAUAAAAGGUACUCCGGGGAUAACAGGCUGAUCCUGCCCAAGAGUCCACAUCGACGGCAGGGUUUGGCACCUCGAUGUCGGCUCAUCGCAUCCUGGGGCUGGAGCAGGUCCCAAGGGUUGGUCUGUUCGCCCAUUAAAGCGGUACGUGAGCUGGGUUCAGAACGUCGUGAGACAGUUCGGUCUCUAUCUGCCACAGGCGUAGGAGACUUGAAGGGGGGCUGGCCCUAGUACGAGAGGACCGGGCUGGGCGGACCUCUGGUGUACCAGCUAUUCCGCCAGGAGUAAUUGCUGGGUAGCCAUGUCCGUAAGCGAUAACCGCUGAAAGCAUCUAAGCGGGAAGCGCGCCCCAAGAUGAGGUCUCCCUCUGUCAGAGCAAUCUGACAGAUAAGGUCCCAGGUAGACUACCUGGUUGAUAGGCCCAGCGUGUAAGACCCGUAAGGGUUUAAGCGGAUGGGUACUAAUCGACCGAUCGGCUUGGCCAU
rnacentral:rRNA from 1 species